GUUCAUGUUGCUGCUACGAAUUUCACUAACACUUUUAUUAAUAUAGCAUCUGCGUGUAUCCCUACAAGGGACGUAACUAUAAGAUGUGAUGAUAAAGUUUGGUUUGAUUCAAAUUUGAGACGGGAAACGAGAAAACGGGACAGAUUUCGAAAACUUUUUAUGCGUUCACAUAGUACAUCUGCUGAACAUAAAUAUAAGCAACAAAGGAACAAAGUUAAUAAUUUAAAAAAGCAAGCUAAAAAGCAUUUUUACGUGACUAUAAACGA
rnacentral:lncRNA from 1 species